AUCCUUCUGUAGUUUGUAAAUGUGAUGACUGGGUUUUCACACUCAUGUGUGAGCUGUGCCUCCCUCAAACCUUGUUACAAUGUCAGCACAUUACUCAUCUGACA